rnacentral:misc_RNA from 1 species
AAAGAAGAGAAAAGAAGCGUGGAAAUAUAAGAAAGAGAAACAGGCGAGGCUAGGUGUGAUUUUCCAAAGAAGGAUAAGGGUUAGCGAUAACUGCGGAACGAUUACGAGUGGCCAAAGGUCUGCACGUCGCGUAAUUUCUCAGAGAGCCACCGAAUGCCGGAGAAGAGAAGUGGGAAUGUUCGAUAGUGCGUUCUUCUCGAGAUCCGAGGGUCUUCGAGUCGGUUAACCAGUGUUUGUCGUGGAAACGAAGCGCAAUCGACGACAACGGUCCAGACCUGCCAGAUGGCGAUUAAAAUUGCCGAAAGCAUCGUCGAGUCAAUGGCAUCGGCUGUCGAGUUUGCAGCCGGAAUAUCUUUGGGCCAAUCGUUCCUUAAAUUAUGCGAUCGGUUCCUUUGGGUCAUUGAGAAAUCGACUCAGUGGAGUUUACCGAUGCAAGAGAUCACCGUUGAAGAGAAUGGAAAGGUGUUCGGACAGAAGGAGCUGGUCAGACCUCUUCCGUGGGUUCUCUUUAUUCCGGGUCUGAUCAUUCUAAGAGCAAUCAGGACGAUCCUAAAUGUAGGAUCCUUCAUUCUGGGAUAUCCAGAGGUUCAACCAACUAGAAUGGUACAAUUUAUCCAGAAAAGCCGCAAGCAACUUAGAACAAUCAAGACCAACGGCUUAAAGACCAUACGCCAACGAAAACUGGGCAUUGAAUCGGAGACUGCGGUGUCUAAAGAAAAGUCUGUUGUUGAUUCUGCAACAAGCCCAAUGCAGGUCGGCACAAAGCGGACGUACAGUCGAUAUAGUUCGGACGAAUCGGAUGGCGGAGAAAAAGACAUUCUGCAGUCUAUAAUUGCCCAUCUAGCUGUGGAGAGCGACGAGAAUGAUCCCGAUUUUGACGUAGAAAACUGUUCUUCAACUACUGCAACUUCGGACGAAAACGUGUCCUUACACGAGGUAGCCGAUCUUCUCGAAGAUGCGAAAAACCCGAAUAUUUUUCCUGAUCCGAAAGAUCUCGAAGAAUACGUUCAACAACGUAACACGGUUGCUGAUAUAGCCUGUGAUGCAUCUGAUGAAAAAAUUGGUUUCGGCAGAUCCGAGUGUGGAAGACUUACACCGAACAAACUUGGGAUAGACAACGAACCUGGAGUAUUCUAUUCUCCUAUCAGUUCAAAGAGCACUUCCCCGGAGAGACUGGUAUCCCCCACUGAUCUUGAAAUAUUGCUGUCACCGUCGGAUAACUCAACCCCGAAAGACGUGGGCAAUGGGAAACUGAAUUCUAAUACCGUCUCCUCAACAUCAACAGCGAACGUAACGAAUGACCAAACUGAAGAUAAACGAGUGCCGCUUACUGGUAGUAAAGCUUAUUGUAAAGGAAAGCGCAUUAACUAUGGCAAUCGCAACAAUCACGGAAACCGAAAGAAGAAAUAGAAGGGGCUUUUUAAUUUCAAUCCAGUAAUGAUUAAAUUUGUUGUUCUUACCAAAUGAAUUAAUGAAAGUGAGAUAUUUUAUAAAACUUUUUUCUGAGCUAUGUAUACCGAAUCGUUUGAAAUUUUACCAUACAAAUCCUAUGAAAGUUCCUGUCAUAAAUGGAAGUUCAUUUAAAAAAUUGAGUUAUAAAUCAUUUUUUUAAUUUUCUAUAAAAAUAAAAUUGUACAGGUGUCGUGACUUUCUUUAGGGCUCCCAUAUUAACUUGGUAAUAUUUCAAAUAAUUUGAUACAUCCAAUAUGGACAACAUUUUCAUAAAAUAUUGAUCCCACAGAUGCUUUCAUAUUACCUUAUGUGAUACGUAUUUAACAAAAAUUUCUUUUCUGUUACACUUGAGAGCGUUUAACGAGAGUUAUGUGUCAUGGAAAAAGUUAGUUGCUCACAGGUUGUUUUUUGUAUGCACUGUCCCACCCCUCCUAAAGUUGUUAAGCGCUUAUUACAUUGUUUGAAGUAAUGUAACUAUAUGCUUUGUAUGGUUACUGAAUCUUCUUUUCGUCGCCAAUUGUACAUCAUGGCCCGAAUCUUUGUAAUAUGUCAAAUAUUUUGGUUAAUGCAAGACAGGAAUGGGUUAACCUCAACACGUGCGAUCUGAAAUGAGAAAAAAUUACUAAAUUACAAAUUACCAUAAGUUGUAGUAAGUUCUGUACCUCGUCAUAUAUUAUGUAGCGUGUAUCUUUAAAAAUACCAUGCGCACUUUAUAUGUAUUUAACAUUUCUCUUAAAAGAUUACGAACUAAAUGUUCAUCAAGGUGUUUAUCACUCCAGCAAGUAAAGAUUAUGAAAGUGUUCCUCAACCGAUUAAAUCGAUCAAAUGUCCGUUUCAAAAAUGAAGUAUAGAUGCAUGUUUAAAUAGGAGGUUCACCACGGACACGAAUGCCUUCCCAUUAUAUGCUAACGGCACAAUAUUUGUAAGGGAGGCAUCCAUAUCCGUUAGUGUACAUGAUGAAAAUUAGGGUCCGAAUAGGAAAUAAUUAAAUAUGUUUAAGAACUUUCUUGUCUUUCCUCAAGAUGAAAUGAAAGUGGCGUCCGAUAUGUCAAAAUAUUUAUAAAACUUUUCUCCGAAUUGAGUGCAUUGAAUUAUUUGAAUCCGAUGCGGUUUUUUUUAUAGGAUAAAGCAUAGAAAUAAGAAACUAGGAGAAUGAAUACAAUACUAUAAGAAUUCACGUAAAAUUGAGUAAAGAUCUUCCUUUUUA